rnacentral:rRNA from 1 species
UACGAAGGGUGCAAGCGUUAAUCGGAAUUACUGGGCGUAAAGGGUGCGUAGGCGGUUGUUUAAGUCUGUCGUGAAAUCCCCGGGCUCAACCUGGGAAUGGCGAUGGAUACUGGGCAGCUAGAGUGUGUCAGAGGAUGGUGGAAUUCCCGGUGUAGCGGUGAAAUGCGUAGAGAUCGGGAGGAACAUCAGUGGCGAAGGCGGCCAUUUGGGACAACACUGACGCUGAAGCACGAAAGCGUGGGGAGCAAACAGG